rnacentral:rRNA from 1 species
UACGGGGGGGGCAAGCGUUGUUCGGAAUUACUGGGCGUAAAGGGUUCGUAGGUGGCCAACUAAGUCAUACGUGAAAUCCCUCAGCUUAACUGGGGAACUGCGUCUGAUACUGGUUGGCCUGAGUGCAGGAGAGGAACGCGGAAUUCCAGGUGUAGCGGUGAAAUGCGUAGAUAUCUGGAGGAACACCGGUGGCGAAGGCGGCGUUCUGGACUGCAACUGACACUGAGGAACGAAAGCCAGGGGAGCAAACGGG